rnacentral:snRNA from 1 species
GUGCUCGCUUUGGCAGCACAUAUACUAAAAACUGGAACGAUACAGAGAUUAGCAUGGCCCCUGAACAAGGAUGACACGCAAAUUUGUGAAGCGUUCCAUAUUUAA